UGGGGAAUAUUGCGCAAUGGGCGAAAGCCUGACGCAGCGACGCCGCGUGGGGGAUGACGGCCUUCGGGUUGUAAACCUCUUUCAGCAGGGACGAAGCGCAAGUGACGGUACCUGCAGAAGAAGCACCGGCCAACUACGUGCCAGCAGCCGCGGUAAUACGUAGGGUGCAAGCGUUGUCCGGAAUUAUUGGGCGUAAAGAGCUCGUAGGCGGUUUGUUGCGUCGGCUGUGAAAUCCCGAGGCUCAACCUCGGGUCUGCAGUCGAUACGAGCAAACUAGAGUGUUGCAGGGGAGACUGGAAUUCCUGGUGUAGCGGUGAAAUGCGCAGAUAUCAGGAGGAACACCGGUGGCGAAGGCGGGUCUCUGGGCAACAACUGACGCUGAGGAGCGAAAGCGUGGGGAGCGAACAGG
rnacentral:rRNA from 1 species